AAGGGCACCACAAGAACGCGUGGAGCAUGUGGCUUAAUUUGACUCAACGCGGGAAAUCUUACCGGGUCCGGACACACUGAGGAUUGACAGGCAAUAUUAAUACUUUGCUUCGGCAUUGUAUUAUGUUAAAUAUGCUAGUCCUUUCAUGAUUAUGUGAUAGGUGGUGCAUGGCCGUUCUUAGUUCGUGGAGUGAUCUGUCUGCUUAAUUGCGUUUCACUAAGGGCCUAUAAAUUUACGUAUGUUGUAUCGCACUUUGACCCCUUUCUUUAAUUAGAAAGCGCGUGUCUNAGUUUCGCUUUGCUCAUACAAUUAGGUCCUGAAAGCAACGAACGUGACCGCAACCUCUUGUUGCCUUUAUACCAAACAUGUUUAUUCAUUUUUUAAUGUUCAUUCAUGAAAAAAGGCUUUUUAAACUAGAGGGACCGCUGUUACUUUCUUAAACCAGAGGAAGGUUGCGGCAAUAACAGGUCUGUGAUGCCCUUAGAUGUUCCGGGCUGCACACGUGCUACAAUGAUUAUUGCAGUGAGCAUCUCAUUUUUACGCACCGCAUGCGCGAGUCCAUUUAUUCACCUUCGGGUGUUUUAAAUGUGUACCUCUGCGCGCGGUAAAGCCUGCUUCGAAAGUAAGUGGGUAAUCAAUUAGAAGUAAUGAUUUCCUUUUUUAGCACACAUAUAUACGGCGUCUAUGCCCGGGUUACCUUGUUGUAGCUUUUGUGUGUAUAGAUGUUUUUUCCGUAUGUGCGAUUGUCAAUUCAUGGUGGGGACAGACCAUUGUUAAUUGUUGGUCUCGGUCUUAACUAGGAAUGCCUUGUACGGGUCUUUGGUUCAACAAACCACCCGGAAUACGUCCCUGCCCUUUGUACACACCGCCCGUCGCUCUUACCGAUGGACUUCUCUGUGAGUUUGAGGGACUGGGAACGCAGGAAUUUAUUUCUGCACACCUAUGGAAACUUAAACGAACAGUGUGGUCUAAAGGAAAGAGAAGUCGAACAAGGCA
rnacentral:rRNA from 1 species